rnacentral:rRNA from 1 species
UACGUAGGGUGCGAGCGUUGUCCGGAAUUAUUGGGCGUAAAGAGCUUGUAGGCGGUCUGUCGCGUCUGCUGUGAAAAUCCGGGGCUCAACCCCGGACCUGCAGUGGGUACGGGCAGACUAGAGUGUGGUAGGGGAGACUGGAAUUCCUGGUGUAGCGGUGAAAUGCGCAGAUAUCAGGAGGAACACCGAUGGCGAAGGCAGGUCUCUGGGCCAUAACUGACGCUGAGGCGCGAAAGCGUGGGGAGCAAACAGG